AUUGAACGCUGGCGGCAUGCCUUACACAUGCAAGUCGAACGGUAACAGGUCUUCGGAUGCUGACGAGUGGCGAACGGGUGAGUAAUACAUCGGAACGUGCCCUAUCGUGGGGGAUAACGAGGCGAAAGCUUUGCUAAUACCGCAUACGAUCUACGGAUGAAAUCGGGGGAUCUUCGGACCUCGCGCGGACGGAGCGGCCGAUGGCCGAUUAGGUAGUUGGUGGGAUAAAAGCUUACCAAGCCGACGAUCUGUAGCUGGUCUGAGAGGAUGAUCAGCCACACUGGGACUGAGACACGGCCCAGACUCCUACGGGAGGCAGCAGUGGGGAAUUUUGGACAAUGGGCGAAAGCCUGAUCCAGCCAUGCCGCGUGCAGGAUGAAGGCCUUUGGGUUGUAAACUGCUUUUGUACGGAACGAAAAGCCUCUUUCUAAUAAAGAGGGGUCAUGACGGUACCGUAAGAAUAAGCACCGGCUAACUACGUG
rnacentral:rRNA from 1 species